rfam:Picea glauca, whole genome shotgun sequence.
GUCGUUGUAGUAUUGUGGUGAGUAUUCCCGCCUGUCACACGGGUGACCCGGGUUCGAUUCCCGGCAACGACG